rnacentral:snRNA from 1 species
GGAUGUGAGGGCGAUCUGGCUGUGACAUCUGUCACCCCACUGAUUGCCAGGGUUGAUUCGGCUGAUCUGGCUGGCCAGGUGGGUGUCCCCUUCCUCCCUCACUGCUCCAUGUGUGUCCCUCACAAAGCUGCGUGCUUGGUCAAAAAGGACGGCCUUCCCCGAAUAGAGACGGAUGGGUCUUUGACCAAGGCUAUAGGCGUAGCUGCACUCCCCUGCUAGAACCUCCAAACAAGCUCUCAAGAUAGACACCUGCAGACCCGCUCCACCACUUGUGAAGUGACUCCCCUGCAGGUGGGGAGCUGGGGACUCAAACCAGGAUCCUUAU